rnacentral:tRNA from 1 species
GGGAAUGUGGCUUAGUGGUAGAGUGCUUGCCUAGUGUGCAUGAAGUCCUGAGUUCAAUUCCUCAGUACCA